CGGGGGAUAACAUUCGGAAACGGGUGCUAAUACCGCAUAAAUAUCUUCUUCCGCAAUGGAAGAAGAUUGAAAGACGGCUCUGCUGUCACUUAUAGAUGACCUUGCGGUGCAUUAGUUAGUUGGUGGGGUAAUGGCCUACCAAGACGAUGAUGCAUAGCCGACCUGAGAGGGUGAUCGGCCACAUUGGGACUGAGACACGGCCCAAACUCCUACGGGAGGCAGCAGUAGGGAAUCUUCCGCAAUGGGCGAAAGCCUGACGGAGCAAUGCCGCGUGAGUGAAGAAGGCCUUCGGGUCGUAAAACUCUGUUAUAAGAGAAGAACAAAUUGUAGAGUAACUGCUACAGUCUUGACGGUAUCUUAUCAGAAAGCCACGGCUAACUACGUG
rnacentral:rRNA from 1 species